GAUGAACGCUGGCGGCGUGCCUAAUACAUGCAAGUCGAGCGAACGGACGAGAAGCUUGCUUCUCUGAUGUUAGCGGCGGACGGGUGAGUAACACGUGGAUAACCUACCUAUAAGACUGGGAUAACUUCGGGAAACCGGAGCUAAUACCGGAUAAUAUUUUGAACCGCAUGGUUCAAAAGUGAAAGACGGUCUUGCUGUCACUUAUAGAUGGAUCCGCGCUGCAUUAGCUAGUUGGUAAGGUAACGGCUUACCAAGGCAACGAUGCAUAGCCGACCUGAGAGGGUGAUCGGCCACACUGGAACUGAGACACGGUCCAGACUCCUACGGGAGGCAGCAGUAGGGAAUCUUCCGCAAUGGGCGAAAGCCUGACGGAGCAACGCCGCGUGAGUGAUGAAGGUCUUCGGAUCGUAAAACUCUGUUAUUAGGGAAGAACAUAUGUGUAAGUAACUGUGCACAUCUUGACGGUACCUAAUCAGAAAGCCACGGCUAACUACGUGCCAGCAGCCGCGGUAAUACGUAGGUGGCAAGCGUUAUCCGGAAUUAUUGGGCGUAAAGCGCGCGUAGGCGGUUUUUUAAGUCUGAUGUGAAAGCCCACGGCUCAACCGUGGAGGGUCAUUGGAAACUGGAAAACUUGAGUGCAGAAGAGGAAAGUGGAAUUCCAUGUGUAGCGGUGAAAUGCGCAGAGAUAUGGAGGAACACCAGUGGCGAAGGCGACUUUCUGGUCUGUAACUGACGCUGAUGUGCGAAAGCGUGGGGAUCAAACAGGAUUAGAUACCCUGGUAGUCCACGCCGUAAACGAUGAGUGCUAAGUGUUAGGGGGUUUCCGCCCCUUAGUGCUGCAGCUAACGCAUUAAGCACUCCGCCUGGGGAGUACGACCGCAAGGUUGAAACUCAAAGGAAUUGACGGGGACCCGCACAAGCGGUGGAGCAUGUGGUUUAAUUCGAAGUAACGCGAAGAACCUUACCAAAUCUUGACAUCCUUUGACAACUCUAGAGAUAGAGCUUUCCCCUUCGGGGGACAAAGUGACAGGUGGUGCUUGGUUGUCGUCAGCUCGUGUCGUGAGAUGUUGGGUUAAGUCCCGCAACGAGCGCAACCCUUAAGCUUAGUUGCCAUCAUUAAGUUGGGCACUCUAAGUUGACUGCCGGUGACAAACCGGAGGAAGGUGGGGAUGACGUCAAAUCAUCAUGCCCCUUAUGAUUUGGGCUACACACGUGCUACAAUGGACAAUACAAAGGGCAGCGAAACCGUGAGGUCAAGCAAAUCCCAUAAAGUUGUUCUCAGUUCGGAUUGUAGUCUGCAACUCGACUACAUGAAGCUGGAAUCGCUAGUAAUCGUAGAUCAGCAUGCUACGGUGAAUACGUUCCCGGGUCU
rnacentral:rRNA from 1 species